rnacentral:lncRNA from 1 species
CUAAUAACUAAAAAAGUGAUCAACCAUUAAAAGUGUUCAUGUACCUUUUAAAUGUGACCACGCAUUUAAUAAAAAAAUAUUUCAUAUUUUUUAAAUGUUUCCAAAUGAUAAGUGUCAUGUGUGGCACAAAGCAGUUCUGUGUUGACGUUUCUUAUAGCUAAAGCUGCCAUCCAAAAAGAAAAGAAAAAGAAAAAAAAACAUCCG